rnacentral:tRNA from 1 species
CACUAAGAAGCUAAAUGGGAAGUAGCGUUAGCCUUUUAAGCUAAAGAUUGGCGGCCCCCAGCCGCCCUCAGUGA